UCCCCGCCUCAGGCGAGGGGGGCGCCGGACCGGGAGGAGGGGAGGAGGCGAUGCUGGAAGCCAUGGUGGAGACCAGUCCCGAAGAUCCACCUCCGACCCUGAAGCCAGAAACUCAGCCACCAGAGAAGCGUCGGAGAACAAUUGAGGAUUUCAACAAAUUCUGCAGUUUUGUCUUGGCCUAUGCUGGUUACGUCCCCCCUAGCAAGGAGGAAAGUGACUGGCAAGCCUCUGGCUCCAGUUCUUCAUUGCGUGUCGAGAGCGCGGCCGCCAGUGACGGCUGGGACUCGGCCCCCUCAGACCUCCGAACCAUCCAGACCUUUUUUUUGUUUUUUUUUUUUUUUUUCAUCCAGACCUUUGUUAAGAAAGCAAAAUCAUCCAAGAGAAGGGCGGCUCAAGCAGGUCCCACUCAGCCAGGACCCCCGAGGUCCACUUUUUCUCGUCUGCACACCCCUGACAGUGCAACCCUGCUUGAGAAGAUGAAGCUCAAGGACUCUCUCUUUGAUCUAGAUGGGCCCAAAAUGGCAUCUCCACUGUCCCCCACAUCCCUGACCCAUGCCUCCCGGCCCCCUGCUGCUCUCACCCCAGUACCCCUUUCCCAGGGGGACCUCUCCCAACCUCCUUGAAAGAAGGACUGAAAGAACCGAAAGUUGGGGCCAGGAGGGGGGCUGGUUUUGGGGUGCUUCGGAGGUCUCUGCCAGCUCCUGGGAAUGGGGAAAAGAGGUCUUGAAUUAAAAAGAGCAAGAAAUGGAAGUUGAAAAGGCAGAUCGGGGGGAUAGACUCCCACCUCCUGGGCCUCCCCGGGGACCCCCCAGUGAUACAGACUCUGAAGAGGAGGAGGAAGACAUGGCAGCCAUGGUAGGGGGUGAAGCCCCAGCCCCUGUGCUGCCAACACCCCCUGAGGCUCCUAGGCCCCCUGCCGCAGUGCACCCUGAAGGAGCCCCUCCCACUGACAGCGAGAGCAAGGAAGUGGGCAGCACUGAAACGAGCCGAGAUGGAGAUGCCAGCUCGAGUGAAGGCGAGAUGCAGGUCAUGGAUGAGGACCUCAUGGUAGAAUCAGGUGAUGACUCAGGGGACCUGAUCACAUGUUACUGCCGAAAGCCCUUUGCAGGGCGGCCCAUGAUUGAGUGCAGCCUGUGUGGGACCUGGAUCUACCUCUCCUGUGCUAAGAUCAAGAAGACCAAUGUCCCUGACUUCUUUUACUGCCAGAAAUGCAAGGAACUGCGGCCGGAGGCCCAGCGGUUAGGGGGGCCUCCCAAAUCUGGAGAGCCCUGACACCGCCGUCUCCAGGCUGGGACUUCCAAAUGACAACGUGACUUGGGAACUGAGCCUCAGGGUCCUCAGCCUAUCCCCUGGAGCUUGGAUUAUUGUCCCACUUCAAGGCAGGAAUUCCCAAGGGAGGCUGGUUUGGGAAUGAAUGGCUCACGUUCCAACCUUCACCUUUCCUUCCCACCUUGUGGACUUGAACAUGGACCCAUUACAGUUGGGGGUGGGAGGCUGUCUGGGUCCCUAGACACUUAAUCUCUGUCCCUUAGACCUGCCGCCCCCCUCACUUUCUGGGCCAGGGUCGGAGCUGGGGUGGAAUGGGACAGUUGUCUAUAAAACUCUAGUGUAAAUAGA